UACGUAGGGAGCAAGCGUUGUCCGGAAUCAUUGGGCGUAAAGCGCGCGUAGGUGGCUUCGUAAGUCCGUUGUGAAAGUCAAAGGCUCAACCUUUGAAAGCCGAUGGAUACUGCGGAGCUAGAGUACGGAAGAGGCGAGUGGAAUUCCUGGUGUAGCGGUGGAAUGCGCAGAUAUCAGGAGGAACACCGGUGGCGAAGGCGGCUUCCUGGACCGACACUGACGCUGAGGCGCGAAAGCUAGGGGAGCAAACGGG
rnacentral:rRNA from 1 species